rnacentral:rRNA from 1 species
AUUGAACGCUGGCGGCAGGCCUAACACAUGCAAGUCGAGCGGAUGAAGGGAGCUUGCUCCUGGAUUCAGCGGCGGACGGGUGAGUAAUGCCUAGGAAUCUGCCUGGUAGUGGGGGAUAACGUCCGGAAACGGGCGCUAAUACCGCAUACGUCCUGAGGGAGAAAGUGGGGGAUCUUCGGACCUCACGCUAUCAGAUGAGCCUAGGUCGGAUUAGCUAGUUGGUGGGGUAAAGGCCUACCAAGGCGACGAUCCGUAACUGGUCUGAGAGGAUGAUCAGUCACACUGGAACUGAGACACGGUCCAGACUCCUACGGGAGGCAGCAGGGGGGAAUAUUGGACAAUGGGCGAAAGCCUGAUCCAGCCAUGCCGCGUGUGUGAAGAAGGUCUUCGGAUUGUAAAGCACUUUAAGUUGGGAGGAAGGGCAGUAAGUUAAUACCUUGCUGUUUUGACGUUACCAACAGAAUAAGCACCGGCUAACUUCGU